GAUGAACGCUGGCGGCGUGCCUAAUACAUGCCAGUCGAGCGAACAGACGAGGAGCUUGCUCCUCUGACGUUAGCGGCGGACGGGUGAGUAACACGUGGAUAACCUACCUAUAAGACUGGGAUAACUUCGGGAAACCGGAGCUAAUACCGGAUAAUAUAUUGAACCGCAUGGUUCAAUAGUGAAAGACGGUUUUGCUGUCACUUAUCGAUGGAUCCGCGCCGCAUUAGCUAGUUGGUAAGGUAACGGCUUACCAAGGCGACGAUGCGUAGCCGACCUGAGAGGGUGAUCGGCCACACUGGAACUGAGACACGGUCCAGACUCCUACGGGAGGCAGCAGUAGGGAAUCUUCCGCAAUGGGCGAAAGCCUGACGGAGCAACGCCGCGUGAGUGAUGAAGGUCUUCGGAUCGUAAAACUCUGUUAUUAGGGAAGAACAAAUGUGUAAGUAACUAUGCACGUCUUGACGGUACCUAAUCAGAAAGCCACGGCUAACUACGUG
rnacentral:rRNA from 1 species